CCUACGGGAGGCAGCAGUCGAGAAUCAUUCACAAUGGGGGAAACCCUGAUGGUGCGACGCCGCGUGGGGGAAUGAAGGUCUUCGGAUUGUAAACCCCUGUCAUGUGGGAGCAAAUUAAAAAGAUAGUACCACAAGAGGAAGAGACGGCUAACUCUGUGCCAGUAGCCGCGGUAAUACAGAGGUCUCAAGCGUUGUUCGGAAUCACUGGGCGUAAAGCGUGCGUAGGCUGUUUCGUAAGUCGUGUGUGAAAGGCGCGGGCUCAACCCGCGGACGGCACAUGAUACUGCGAGACUAGAGUAAGGGAGGGGGAACCGGAAUUCUCGGUGUAGCAGUGAAAUGCGUAGAUAUCGAGAGGAACACUCGUGGCGAAGGCGGGUUCCUGGACAUUAACUGACGCUGAGGCACGAAGGCCAGGGGAGCGAAAGGGAUUAGAUACCCGUGUAGUC
rnacentral:rRNA from 1 species